rnacentral:lncRNA from 1 species
CAAUAGGCUACACUCUUGACUUCCAAACUCUCUUAUGAGGCCUGUUGAUUCUCUGAUUUGCCAUAUUUCUUUUCCUUUUCUUUACUUUGUCCUAGAAAUUUCUACGACUGAUAGGCCUGUUUGGAGCUUCCUACCAGUUUUACAUUGGUGAGAGUCCACUGACUUUCAGGUAGCUUCUCAUACUUUUCUGGAGUGUCAGAACACUAGCAACUUGUAUUAUGUGGAAACUGUUUUCUCCAACCAUUUCCUCUGUGCCUGCAUUAUUUACCUUCUCAUUUCUGUUUCAUUGUCAUUUCAAAAAUCAAUUGCCAGUUUCCUAAUAGGUAAACAGUUAAUCUCAGGUUGGCAGGCCUUGAAUCAACACAUUUCGGGCUCUAAAACACUCAGAUAGUCUGCUGAAGACUGGCUGGUUGUAUUUAUUUGCUGACUGGCAGUUAAAUAUUUAAUUGUUGGAUUCACUAACUGUUAACCGUAUCACACAAAAAUGUUGACUAGAUCUUAAUUUUCACAUCAAUUUGCUUUUUGUUUUCAUCUGUAUUCUGUUUCUUAAGAUUUUGAAGCCUCAGAUGUAUCAAAUCAAAAGCAGCUAUAGAAUUCUGGCAUCUUUUAAAGAAGUCAGACAGUUCUUAGUUAUAUAGUUGUGGUUCAGCCACAGACACCAAGCCCCACAUAGCCCCCUGUUGACUUCUCCAUCACUGGGAUUUGGGACACAGCUAGAAAGGUAAAAAAAUACCCUGUGGGUCAGGAUAAAGAUGAUUUAAUAGGGAAAGGAAAAGUAGCUCACACAAGCAAAACAAGACAAUUAAUACACCACUUCCCACAGCAGGCAGACACUGAGCCUGCUCCAGGAAAGCAAGACUCAUGUCACACGUGAAACAGUAACUUAGGAAGACAAAUGGCAUCACUCCAAACAUCCCCCCACAAGAAGAAGGGACCAUCUGCAGUGCAAGAAUGGGGAGGAGGAGGAGGAGAAGAAAAGACUUUAAUGACAGACACAGAAGAGGCGAGACAGGACAGGACAG